ensembl:snRNA U1 U1 spliceosomal RNA
GUAUUUAUCUGGUUUGGAAUAUACCAUGAUCACGAAGGUGGUUUUUUUCAGUAUGAGGUUCAUUUGUUGUACUUUGGGUGUGCUGAUCCUUGGGAUUUUACCCGAAUGUGGAAAGCUCAGCGCCUAAUUUAUGGUUGGGGGGUGACUGUGUUUGCGUUUUUUUCUG